rnacentral:rRNA from 1 species
GGGCCCGCACAAGCGGUGGAGCAUGUGGUUUAAUUCGACGCAACGCGCAGAACCUUACCAACCCUUGACAUGCCCGUCGCGGGGACGAGAGAUCGACCCCUUCAGUUCGGCUGGACGGUGCACAGGUGCUGCAUGGCUGUCGUCAGCUCGUGUCGUGAGAUGUUGGGUUAAGUCCCGCAACGAGCGCAACCCUCGCCUUCAGUUGCCAUCAUUUAGUUGGGCACUCUGAAGGGACUGCCGGUGACAAGCCGGAGGAAGGUGGGGAUGACGUCAAGUCCUCAUGGCCCUUACGGGUUGGGCUACACACGUGCUACAAUGGCGGUGACAAUGGGAUGCGAAAGCGCGAGCUGGAGCAAAUCCCAAAAAGCCGUCUCAGUUCGGAUUGCACUCUGCAACUCGAGUGCAUGAAGUCGGAAUCGCUAGUAAUCGCGCAACAGCAUGGCGCGGUGAAUACGUUCCCGGGCCUU